CUUCUCACCCCACGAAGCCCGGCCCACAGCCCCGCACUCCUCCCUCAUCCGCAUCUCUCUCCCGCACUCCUCCCUCGUCCCAUCUCGCCGCCGCCACCAAUAGCGCCCAAUCCCAGCGAACUCCGGCGGGAAUCGACGGCACCCAUCACACCAACGUGACCCCGACGCUUCGCUCUUCCAUCCUGUCCGGUGAGAUUCGGCGCACGCAUCCUCCAGCGGCCAAGCGCGGCCGUCUCCCGUCAUUAGGGUUUCGUUCGUCGAUGGAUCCAGCGCUGGCCGGCGACGAGGGCCGCCAGAUCCGCGACCUGGGAGGCUCCUCCUGUAGGAUAUGGGAGGCUCCUCCUGUAGGAUACGGGAGCAGCGCACCGGACCCUGCAGUCGCCGGUUCGGGACGAGCACAGCGGCUCGAGGACGCCGGCGACAAACGCCGGCGCUCCUCUGCUCCAUCCACCUGGACGGCUGCUACUCCGCCAAAGACGUCACCUACAGCUGUGGAUACUGUGGCUACACAUUGAACUUGAGCUCCUCAACACGGAACACGGCCAACGUUGGGUCCAAGUACGGGAAGUAGAUCAGGAAAGCAGGUGCUCUGCUCUUGCGCAUGUAUGGUGGCGUCUCCGGCGUAGCGAUGCUUCUUGAGGUGACUGGCGUGACGGCGGCUGUGUAUGGCAGUGACCACAAGCUCUUCGGAUGAUGGUCUUGCGGCACAUGGCGCCGGAGCUGAGCCUGGGCAUGAGGAGCGAUCGCUACGUGCGGGUCCUCGACCUGCUUGGCCUCAACCUGCAGACCUUCGCCAAGGUUCACCUCAAGUCCCACACUAUGGAUGAAAUUAGGGAGGUAAUAUUUGUUCAUGACCCAUCUUCCUGCUGAACAGUAGAUGAUCUUACUAAGCACCUAGCCAUCUUGCCUGGUAUGCUUGUAUCUGCUACAUGUUGUUUUCAUCUUGAUAGCUAGCAGCCUAGCAUCAUGAACUUUGAUUGUGAAAUCUCUAUAUGCUGUAAAAUUAAUUGUGCCAGUCUCGAAAUUGUUGUGAAUUGUAAGAUGCUUCGAGUAAAUGUUUUUUUUGCCUUCUCGCGUGUAGGCGGUCAGGCGAGACAGCAAGCAGCUCUGUUUCUUGUUAUCUGCUCUGCUUUCAACUGAACUCGUUUCAGUUAGCAAGUCGAUACUGCAGAAUUUGAGACUGGAUACUGAAUUUGAGAGUAUGGGUGCUUGUAAUGAGGUUACUGCAAUAAUGUAUCCAGAGUAGAAUUGUAUUGUACCUGCUAUUUAUAGAUUAAUUGUUCAUGUAUGCUUCAUUUGAAAAUAAACAUGUUGUCACAUGUUCAAACAGUAUUGGGAGUUCUGGGACUAUUAUAUGGUGUUAUGGAUAUACUUUGUGAUUCGAGUUACUGAUAUGUGGUCUAGUCUCAGUGGGAAAGAUGCAACUAUUGUGAUCUAAUACUUCUUGUUUUGACUCCUCCAAUGGCAGGUGUAACUGUUACGAGCAAAGAACCUGUGAGCAGAGCUGAAGUAUAUAAUUCUUUUGUGUCGCUGUUUCGUGUGUCAAGUCGAAUGCUACUCUUAUUAUUAUUAUAGAGUGUCCUGAUGCAAGUUUCUGAAUUAUGCCUCUUGAACUUGCGAGUUGGGAUAUCUUGCAAACGUUUUAACUUUUAAACUCGAAACUGUUCCCUUUUUUUGUUUGAUUCAAGCUUACUCUCGUUAUAAUGUAUUGUGUAGUUGUUGUUUCAAACUGUUUUGCUACAAGUACCAUAAUUUGCAUUGAAGAUAUUGUAUUCUGUUGUUGUAUCAUUGUUUAAUAAAACCACAACAUGAUGCUCACAUGAGACAUCCA